CUUAUCAUUUUCUCGUUUAUGUAAUUUUUAAUUAAUUCUUUUACUGAUUAAAAAAAAAAAAAAAAAAAGAAAAGAAAAGAAGAAGAAAGCACAAGAAAGAAGAAACAAGUAUAUAUUUAUAGUUAUAAAUCGCAAGAAGCAUUGCAUGGUUUAAUAUCCUCGUUGUUUUUUUUUUUUCUUCUUCUUUCUUUUAGAGAUAAAAUUACUUUGUUAAAAUAUUAUCGGCCAUUUUAUUAUACAAUAAAGAGAUAAAAAAGAGAGAGAUAGAAAGGAGGAGAGAGAGAGAGAGAGAGAGAGAGAGAGAUAGGAUCAAUAUAACAUGUUUCUAAAAGGGCGAAAGAAAGAGUCUCAUAUAAAAACAGAUAAGCAAACGCGUUUGAUUCGCAGAUGAUAGACUGACGACAUUUAACAUUUUCUCAUUUACGUGUUUGAAUAGAUCAAAGAAACGAACGAACGAAGUCGAGCGUGCAAACAGGUUUCGAAGCUGGUGAAAGUGGUCUGUCUCUUCACUGAUCUAAGGUCAUUCAGUAUCGUGUCACUCCUUUCGAGCUUCUUCGCAAAUAAGAGAACGCUUCAUCCUUGACACGAUAGGAACGAUAGCAACGAAGUAAAUGUAUUGCCGUAGAAAAUGAAUGUCUUAUUUGAAGUCAUCCCCACCACAAGAUUCUCUUCCCACCAAGGACGACACAUGGUAUGUUUGGAAUACCUGAUAAAAAAAAACUCAUUAAAAUUGGAUCCUUAAACAAAUGAUGUAAAUUAAACGAUAAACGACUGUAAAAUAAUUUUCUAACUUCAUAUUA